rnacentral:rRNA from 1 species
AUGGCACGUAAAAGAGCCAUCUUUAGAAACUUCCCCAAGUGGUGGCUUUUCAAAUUAAGGAAGCGGAAAGCACGUAGGCUUGCUCCACUGCCUCCCCCAUCACCUCCACCACUGCCUCCCCCACCAUCUCCUCCGCCACCCCAAUCACCUACACCACCUCCCCCAGCUAUUCCUGAGCCUUAUUUUAGCCCUGUUACCCACAAUCAAGAGCGCCGUGAUCAAAUUGCCAAUGCUCUAGUUAUGCUUGCUAUUGGUGAUCCUGAAGCUGAAGAUGAGAGUUAUGAUACAUUCAUUCCUGUCAUCAAUCUUAGGGCGCAUCAAGGAUCGUAUUGCCUUCUUUUUGAGAGUGCUCUAAUGAAACAGCGUGAAGACGAAUCUCCAUUUGGUCAUCAUGUCCUAAACUUUCCUCUUCCUGAUGACAGUGAUGUUUUACCUGUGCCCACAGAUGCUAUGCAAACAAAGACCUUUGAGAAUACAGAAGGGGAAAUAAGUUUGACUGUGCUAUCUUGUAAAACAGAAUUCCAUCACUGUGAUUCCAUUGAAUUUGGAGGAGAGGUUGUAGUGGGUCAGAAGUUGUUCUUAUAUGACCUCAGAUAUGGCACUCCUUCACUCGUCGAUGGCCAUGUGACCUGUGUAGGUUCAGAUUCUUUUGUGCUGGAUGCUAACUCAUGUGAUGGUUUUGUGAAUGGAGCUCUUGUAUUUGAUGAUGAAAAUAGACUCGUUGGAGUGGUGUAUCAUCAAGUCGGCUCUCCAGUAGCUGUCAAUAUUGAUCGUUUAGAGGAACUCUUGUUACAAAUCUUUCCUGGGAAUCAGAAUAUGGAUGACUUUUACCAGAGUUUAGAGCAAAUGUGA